rnacentral:rRNA from 1 species
CGGCACGGGUGAGUAACACGUAUCCAACCUGCCGUCUACUCUUGGACAGCCUUCUGAAAGGAAGAUUAAUACAAGAUGGCAUCAUGAGUCCGCAUGUUCACAUGAUUAAAGGUAUUCCGGUAGACGAUGGGGAUGCGUUCCAUUAGAUCGUAGGCGGGGUAACGGCCCACCUAGUCUUCGAUGGAUAGGGGUUCUGAGAGGAAGGUCCCCCACAUUGGAACUGAGACACGGUCCAA